rnacentral:rRNA from 1 species
GAUGAACGCUGGCGGCGUGCCUAAUACAUGCAAGUCGAGCGAACAGACGAGGAGCUUGCUCCUCUGACGUUAGCGGCGGACGGGUGAGUAACACGUGGAUAACCUACCUAUAAGACUGGGAUAACUUCGGGAAACCGGAGCUAAUACCGGAUAAUAUAUUGAACCGCAUGGUUCAAUAGUGAAAGACGGUUUUGCUGUCACUUCUAGAUGGAUCCGCGCCGCAUUAGCUAGUUGGUAGGGUAACGGCUUACCAAGGCAACGAUGCGUAGCCGACCUGAGAGGGUGAUCGGCCACACUGGAACUGGGACACGGUCCAGACUCCUACGGGAGGCAGCAGUAGGGAAUCUGCCGCAAUGGGCGAAAGCUUGACGGAGCAACGCCGCGUGAGUGAUGAAGGUCUUCGGAUCGUAAAACUCUGUUAUUAGGGAAGAACAAAUGUGUAAGUAACUAUGCACGUCUUGACGGUACCUAAUCAGAAAGCCACGGCUAACUACGUG